UCUGCCCUGUGUUUUCAGUGGUUGUUACAACUCCACAAGAACCUGCAGGAGAGAGUGGAGCAGCUGAUAGAGUCUAUCAAUCCCUCCAGUUGAUUACAAUGGAUGAACACCAAGUCUACAGCACGAUCACACCAAACAAAGAGAAUACUGUUCUGUAGCUGAUGACCAUGGACACACGCUGUGGCUCCAUUUGGAUUCAUGCAGACAAACACACAUGUAUGGGUGCUUGGAGUGUUUAGAGUACAUGUUCUACCUGCAUGGUUAAGUCAUACUAUGGAGACUGAUGCUUUCUUGUGGUUGGUGCAUCUUACAGGCCUCUGUUGCAUGUGGUUUAGCGUCAUGAGGGUUGUGCUGCUGUGGAUGUUAAGAGUCAAAUGUUUUAAAUAAAAAGUAUCUUUGAAGUAUUUUAAGUUUUGUACUUUCUAGGCUAUUUUUUUUUAUUUCUGAAUAAAGAUAUAUUUCUCAUUUCAUGUCUGUAUUUUGGUAUAAUUAAAA